AGUGAACGCUGGCGGUAGGCCUAACACAUGCAAGUCGAACGGCAGCACAGUAAGAGCUUGCUCUUACGGGUGGCGAGUGGCGGACGGGUGAGGAAUACAUCGGAAUCUACUUUUUCGUGGGGGAUAACGUAGGGAAACUUACGCUAAUACCGCAUACGACCUACGGGUGAAAGCAGGGGAUCUUCGGACCUUGCGCGAUUGAAUGAGCCGAUGUCGGAUUAGCUAGUUGGCGGGGUAAAGGCCCACCAAGGCGACGAUCCGUAGCUGGUCUGAGAGGAUGAUCAGCCACACUGGAACUGAGACACGGUCCAGACUCCUACGGGAGGCAGCAGUGGGGAAUAUUGGACAAUGGGCGCAGGCCUGAUCCAGCCAUACCGCGUGGGUGAAGAAGGCCUUCGGGUUGUAAAGCCCUUUUGUUGGGAAAGAAAAGCAGCAGGUUAAGACCCCGCUGUUCUGACGGUACCCAAAGAAGAAGCACCGGCUAACUUCGU
rnacentral:rRNA from 1 species